CAGGGCCCUCCCCGCAGGAACACGCAUUGUUACCCGGGUCUGCCGCGCAGAGCUCCUUGAGGUCCGACCCAGUGCCCUGGGUGGAGCCCGGCUGACAGAAAUAGCUCCUUUCCUGCUAAGGAUACUGGCUGAAAUAUCCUGCACUGCUACCCUGGAGAGUGAGUACAACAGACUGCACUGACUGAGGUUUAUCUACUGAUCUCACUGUGAGCACCAGGCUGUGCUACCACAAGUGGCAACCCAUAAAGACUGCACCACAAGACUCCAGCUUCCUGAGUCUGCCGCAGGUUCUUGUUGAAGUGGCACUUCAUCACUGCCUGGGGGACAUCUGAACAUCAUUCCUUAUAACAGUAUGCUUUCACAACAGAGACUCCUUCCACUGACUACAUGGAAAACCCACAGAGUGCAAUUAUAAACAUGCAAAGAAAAAAGUACCAGUGGGGGCUGGAGAGAUGGCUUAGCAGUUAAGCGCUUGCCUGUGAAGCCUAAAGACGCCGGUUUGAGGCUCG